GAUGAACGCUGGCGGCGUGCUUAACACAUGCAAGUCGAACGGAAAGGCCCAAGCUUGCUUGGGUGCUCGAGUGGCGAACGGGUGAGUAACACGUGGGUGAUCUGCCCUGCACUUUGGGAUAAGCCUGGGAAACUGGGUCUAAUACCGGAUAGGACCAUCGUUUAGUGUCGGUGGUGGAAAGUUUUUCGGUAUGGGAUGAGCUCGCGGCCUAUCAGCUUGUUGGUGGGGUAAUGGCCUACCAAGGCGUCGACGGGUAGCCGGCCUGAGAGGGUGUACGGCCACAUUGGGACUGAGAUACGGCCCAGACUCCUACGGGAGGCAGCAGUGGGGAAUAUUGCACAAUGGGCGCAAGCCUGAUGCAGCGACGCCGCGUGGGGGAUGACGGCCUUCGGGUUGUAAACUCCUUUCGCCAAGGACGAAGCGUUUUGUGACGGUACUUGGAGAAGAAGCACCGGCUAACUACGUG
rnacentral:rRNA from 1 species